UCCUGCGAUGCUGUGCCUCUCCCCUGAGGGCAGGUCUGCUGUGUGCAGUGAGCCCUGACCAGAGAACUAAGACAGAGGGUGAGCCUUGACCGGAGGACUGAGACAGGAGGUGAGCGCUGACCAGGGAACUGAGACGGGAGGUGAGCGCUGACUGCUGAAACAUUUUCAAAAAUAUUUACUGUAAAAAUUCCGGUUUUUAAAAUUUAGCAUCAUUGUGCUGAUUGACAGCUUUCUCCCUUCCUACCCCAGAUAAAAUUGCUUUUCCAUGGUUUUUUUCGCCAUAGCACGUGAUCGGCCAUUCUGUCUUCAGCACUGUGUUGGCAUUGGUGUUGUUUUAUGCUGCCAUGCUGUACUAGAAGCAUACUUUUUUUUUAAUGAAUAUUUAAUGAAUAUAAUUUAUUGUCAAAUUGGCUUACAUACAACACCCAGUGCUCAUCCCAAUAAGUGCCCUCCUCAGUGCCCAUCACCCAUUUUCCCUCUCUCCUACCCCCCCCACCCACCCUUAGUUUCUUCUCUGUAUUUAGUAGUCUCUUGUGGUUUGCCUCCCUCCCUCUCUGUUUGUACCUAUUUUAUAUUUUCCCCUUCCCUUCCCCCAUGGUCUGUUCAGUUUCUCAAGAUCCCCAUAUGAGUGAAAACAUGAUAAUCUAUCCUUCUCUGACUGAUGUAUUUCACUCAGCAUAAUACCUUCCAGUUCCAUCCACGUUGCUGCAAAUGGCAUGAUUUCAUUCUUUCUUAUUGCCAAGGAGUAUUCCUUGUAUAUAUAAACCGCAUCCUCUUUAUCCAUUCCUCAGUUGAUGGACAUUUAGGCUCUUUCUAUAGUUUGGCUAUUGUUGAAAGUGCUGCUAUAAACAUUGGGGUACAAGUGCCCCUAUGCAUCAGCACUCCUGUAUCCCUCGGGUAAAUUCCUAGCAGUGCUACUGCUGGGUCAUAGGGUAGAUCUAUUUUUAAUUUUUUCCGGAACCUCCACACAGUUUUCCAGAGCGGCUGCACCAGUUUGCAUUCCCAUCAACAGUGCAAGAGGGUUCCCGUUUCUCCACAUCCUUGCCAGAAUCUAUAGUCUCCUGACUUGUUCAUUUUAGCCACUCUGACCAGUGUGAGGUGGUAUCCCAGUGUGGCUUUGAUUUAUAUUUCCCUGAAGAUGAAUGACGUUGAGCAUUGUUUCAUGUGUCCGUUGGCCAUGUGGAUGUCUUCAUUGGAAAAGUGUCUAUUCUGGUCUUCCGCCCAUUUCUUCACUGGAUUAUUUGUUUUUUGGGUGUGGAGUUUGGUGAGUUCUUUAUAGAUUUUGGAUACUAGCCAUUUAUCCAAUAUGUCAUUUGCAGAUAUCUUUUCCCAUUCCAUGGUUGCCUUUUAGUUUUGUUGAUUGUUUCCUUUCCAGUGCAGAAGCUUUUUAUCUUGGUGAGGUCCCGAUAGUUCAUUUUUGCUUUUAAUCUCCUUGCCUUUGGAAGUGUCAAGUAAGUAAGAAAUUGCUCCUGCUUAGGUCAAAGAGGUCGUUGCCUGCUUUCUCCUCUAGGGUUUUGAUGGUUUCCUGUCUCACAUUUAGGUCUUUCAUCCAUUUUAUUUUCGUGUAUGGUAUAAGAAAGUGGUCUAGUUUCAUUCUUCUGCAUGUUGCUGUCCAGUUCUCCCAGCACCAUUUGCUGAAGAGACUAUCUUUUUUCCAUUGGAUACUCUUUCCUGCUUUGCCAAAUAUUUGUUGGGCAUACGUUUAUGGGUCCAGUUCUGGGUUCUCUAUUCUAUUCCACUGGUCUAUGUGUCUGUUUUCGUGCCAGUAGCAUACUGUCUUGAUGAUGGCAGCUUUAAAGAAAAAAUAAAAAUUGACCAGGCAGAGAAACUCUUUGGCUUAAUCCAGAGAGAGAGAAGGGAAAAUAAAGAAGGAAGUGGGGGAAAAGAAAAGAAAAUAAAGUUAUCCAGACAGAGAAACUAUACAGCUUAAUCCAGAGAGAGAGAAUGGAGAAUUAAGAAGGAGGUGUGGAA